UACAGAGACUGCAAGCGUUAUUCGGAUUCACUGGGCGUAAAGGGUGCGCAGGCGGCCGUGUGUGUCAGGUGUGAAAGCCCGGGGCUUAACCCCGGAAUUGCGCCUGAAACUACAUGGCUAGAGCAUUGGAGAGGGUAGCGGAAUUCACGGUGUAGCAGUGAAAUGCGUAGAUAUCGUGAGGAACACCAGAGGCGAAGGCGGCUACCUGGACAAUUGCUGACGCUCAGGCACGAAAGCGUGGGGAGCGAACAGGG
rnacentral:rRNA from 1 species